rnacentral:sRNA from 1 species
GCUGGGCGUGGUGGUGCGCGCCUGUAAUCCCAGCUACUUGGGAGGCUGAGGCAGGAGAAUUGCUUGAACCCAGGAGGCGGAGGUUGCAGUGAGCUGAGAUCACACCACUGUGCUCCAGCCUGGGCGACAGAGCGAGACUCCGUCUCAA